GACGAACCGUGCAAACGUUGUUCGGAAUCACUGGGCUUAAAGGGCGCGUAGGCGGGCAAGCAAGUCGAAGGUGAAAUCCCACGGCUCAACCGUGGAAGUGCCCCCGAUACUGCUUGUCUUGAGGGAGAUAGGGGCGUGCGGAACUUCCGGUGGAGCGGUGAAAUGCGUAGAUAUCGGAAGGAACACCGGUGGCGAAGGCGGCUACCUGGGCCAGUUCUGACGCUGAGGCGCGAAAGCGUGGGGAGCAAACAGG
rnacentral:rRNA from 1 species